rnacentral:rRNA from 1 species
GCAAGNGNCGGUNCCUAUNGAAGAAGCNCCGNCCNNNACGUNNCAGCAGCCGCGGUAAUNCGUNGGNUGCGAGCGUGUCNGGAAUUACUGGGCGUAAAGAGCUCNUAGGUGGUNUGUCGNGUUGUUCGUGAAAACUCACAGNUUAACUGUGGNCGUGCGGGCGAUACGNNCAGACUAGANUACUGCAGGGGAGACUGGAAUUCNUGGUGUAGCGGUGGAAUGCGCAGAUAUCAGGAGGAACNCCGGUGGNGAAGGCGGGUCNNUGGGCAGUAACUGACGCUGAGNAGCGAAAGCGUGGGGAGCGAACAGGAUUAGAUACCCUGGUAGUCCACGCNGUAAACGGUGGGUACUAGGUGUGGGUUCNUUCCUUGGGAUCCGUGCNGUAGCUAACGCAUUAAGUACCCNGCCUGGGGAGUACGGCCGCAAGGCUAAAACUCAAAGGAAUUGACGGGGGCCCGCACAAGCGGCGGAGCAUGUGGAUUAAUUCGAUGCAACGCGAAGAACCUUACCUGGGUUUGACAUGCACAGGACGCCGGCAGAGAUGUCGGUUCCCUUGUGGCCUGUGUGCAGGUGGUGCAUGGCUGUCGUCAGCUNNNGUCGUGAGAUGUUGGGUUAAGUCCCGCAACGAGCGCAACCCUUGUCCUAUGUUGCCAGCGGGUUAUGCCGGGGACUCGUAGGAGACUGCCGGGGUCAACUCGGAGGAAGGUGGGGAUGACGUCAAGUCAUCAUGCCCCUUAUGUCCAGGGCUUCACACAUGCUACAAUGGCCGGUACAAAGGGCUGCGAUGCCGUGAGGUGGAGCGAAUCCUUUCAAAGCCGGUNUCAGUUGGGAUCGGGGUCUGCAACUCGACCCCGUGAAGUNGGAGUCGUUAGUAAUCGCAGAUCAGCAACGNUGCGGUGAAUACGUUCCCGGGCCUUGUACACACCGCCCGUCACGUCNNGAAAGUCGGUAACACCCGA